CAGCCGCCGCGGUAAAACGUAGGGUGCAAGCGUUAAUCGGAAUUACUGGGCGUAAAGCGUGCGCAGGCGGUUUUGUAAGACAGAGGUGAAAUCCCCGGGCUCAACCUGGGAACUGCCUUUGUGACUGCAAGGCUAGAGUACGGCAGAGGGGGAUGGAAUUCCGCGUGUAGCAGUGAAAUGCGUAGAUAUGCGGAGGAACACCGAUGGCGAAGGCAAUCCCCUGGGCCUGUACUGACGCUCAUGCACGAAAGCGUGGGGAGCAAACAGGAUUAGAUACCCGAGUAGUCCCUGUCUCUUAUAC
rnacentral:rRNA from 1 species